UCCACUCUGGGGGCACAAGGGCAGGGUGAGCGGCAGGGCCACUGGCUGCAGAUGAGGGCACCUGGCAGGGCCUUGAGCCCAGGUGAAAUGGGUGUGCCAGGCUGCCCUGGGAGGUGUCCCUGCACUCCCAUCUAGCCACCACCCAGUUAGAAGUGGUCAGCUACCCCCACCACGAGUUCCCCUUCCUACCAAGGGUCCUGGCUUGGACAGGAGAUGCUGAGCCUGGCUCACCCCCAAGUCAUGCCUUGGACCCUGAGUUUCAGGGUGGCUCCAGACCCAGCUCCUCUCAUGGGGCCCUGAGCCUUAGCCAGGACAGCCCCUGCCACGGGCCCAUACCUUCCGCCCGCAGUGAGGGCUGCCAGCCUCUCCUCCCCAGGCUGAGGUGGGGAGGGGUCGUCCAAGACCCUCUGGAACUGCAUCUCCAGGUCCCGCGGCUUGAGCAGGCGGGAGCCCUCAUAGAGCCAUACCUUGAAAUAGCGGCCCUUGUGGUAGACGGCCACGUGUCUGCUGUCCGUGAGGUGCUGCAGUAUGUCUGCAACAGGCCAGCAGGUGGGUGAGGCUGGGUAGCAGGACACACCGCCCAGCUUGCCUGGCCUCAUGCACUAGAUGCACAUUUGGGGGCCGCAGGCCAUGUGCUGGAACUCCUGCACCUUGUUUAAUGCCAGCAGCAGUGCUAUGAAGCAUUUCAUGGAAGAGGAGAGUGGAACUAGGAAAUGACCCCAACUGUCCCAGGGUCAGAAGCAAGGCCUCUGCGAGCCCGCCUCCACUCUGGGCUCAAGGAAGGGCAUCAGCCUGUCACCCAGCGGCACUGCCAGCCAAGGCAGGAUCCUGACAAUAGGGCGGCAGCUUACAUCUGGCCUCUACCUCCGUGAAGGCUGCACUGUGCACCUGCUGGGAGGAAGAGGCCAGAGCCACCUGCGCCCACCUUGAUGCGGAUCAGGCGUUUCUUCCACGAAUUGAUCCCAGACAGGUAGAUGUGUUUCAGGGCCUCCCGACUGAGCCGGAAAUCGACACCGUCUGGGGUUACUGUGAACUGGAAAGCCACGGCCUGGUGUGCUUCCGCCAUCCUGGGAUCUGGCCGUCACUUGGGGGGCAGGAGCGUCGGGGCUCAGGCCGGCAUGCCGGCGGCCCCACCUCCCGCCCUCUCACCGCUGCCUCCGCCCCCGGGGCCAACGGCCGCAGAACCCUUGCGCUUGCGUUACGGGUGGGGUCGGGAAAGGGGUCGAGGCUUUAAAAGCCAGGAGGCCCGAGGACAUUGAAGGGUUGCCUCGGGGUGGGGGCGAGAGGCGCCCGGAGAAGCGGAGUCGGUCUGGAGCCAAGCGGUGUCUGGGCGCCCCGAGGCCCGACCGCUUGGGGCCCCGGUGCAGUUAUUGCCCAGGGCCCAGGCGCGUGGCCCUGCGCUGUCCCCUACUCCACUCACGGCUCGGGUUCACUCCUGUUCGCGUGCGGGGCCAGUCGCUCUGGCCCGUGUCCCUGUGUCCUUCAGGCCUGGCUACCCUUGCCCCGCCCACAAGAACCUGACACCCACUCCCAAAUUUGGGUUGCAAAGACAGAUGUGGGGCGGCAACCAGAGUCCCCUCCCUUCCGUGGCGGGAAUGGGAGUGGGAAUGGGUGGUGGUGUGCGGGUUUCUGCAAACCUUAGAUUGCUCAAAGGUCUGGGAACCUGGGUGGGUGGCAGGGGGAGGGGUGGUAAAGGGUCUCACGUGAGGAUGGUAGCAUUAGAGCUAAAAAUAGACGAAUGCAGGGAAAAGGUCAUCAAUGUGUCAGCUGUGCUGCCUGCCCAUAUCUCCAGCGCUCAGGGUUGGGCAGCCCCAUCCCAGGGCCCUCUUUGUACCCCUUAUUCCCCAGUCCCCCUAGUAUUUGUCACUUAUAAGCUGGAGCCAGGACGGGGGAGGCCAGGGCCCUCCAGCCCGCUGAGUGGAUCCUUCACCACUUUCGAGCCCCAAGCACCAAACAGCCAUGCUUUUCAGGAGAUCAGGCUCAACAGGGGCCACUUUUGUCAAUGCAUGCACCCUUGGCUGUACUUUGCUGCAAGGCCAGGACAGGGUGUAGAGGAAGAAACUUGUUUAUUGUCUUAAGGUACACAGUCCAGAGGCUCCUGCAGCUCGGGGGUUCAGCCCAGGCCCCAGGGCCUCCUGCUCUUUGCCUCUCUCUCCAAGGUCCUGCCCUGGAGGCUGUGAAGAAAUCCAAGGAGUUGUGGGGUGGUGCGUCAGAAUGAGGGGUGGAAGCUGGUCAGCUGUCCCUUCUGCUGGAAGUAGAACUGGAACCGAGACUGGGCAUACUCCUAGGGAACGACCACCCAACAUGCUGGCCUACCCAUUUUCCUGUCAUUGUGUCACUAGUCUGACUUGUUUGGAAGCCUGUGCUGUGAGACCAGGCUAGACGCUGGGACACCUGAUCCACUCAACUGGAGGGAAGGACAGAGGCACGGAUGCAUCCAGCCGCACCACAGUGUAGUAAAUGCCAGCAUGAGGGUUUAGCCCAGGUGUGCAGGAGCCCUGAGGAAGCCCCUGACUCACCGCUC